rnacentral:rRNA from 1 species
GGGUUGUAAACUGCUUUUAUACGGGAAGAAACACCCCCUCGUAAGGGGGCUUGACGGUACCGUAUGAAUAAGGAUCGGCUAACUCCGUGCCAGCAGCCGCGGUAAUACGGAGGAUCCAAGCGUUAUCCGGAAUCAUUGGGUUUAAAGGGUCCGUAGGCGGGCUAUUAAGUCAGUGGUGAAAGUCUGCGGCUCAACGGUAAAAUUGCCAUUGAUACUGUUAACCUUGAGUUAUUAUGAACUGGUUAAAAUAUUUAUUGCCCGCGUACAGAC